AGCUACAUAGCUCAGGGGAAGAGUGAGUUGAAUCGUACCUUGACAGCAAAUCCCAACACACGCUAAUACCAAAACAGGCGCCGGGCUCAUAACCCGGAGGUCGCUGGAUCGAAACCAGUUGUAGCUA